rnacentral:tRNA from 1 species
GGAGAGGUGGCUGAGCUGGCUGAAGGCGCUCGCCUGGAAAGCGGGUAAACGUGAUAAGCGUUUCGAGGGUUCGAAUCCCUCUCUCUCCGCCA